rnacentral:rRNA from 1 species
UAAUACGUAGGAGGCAAGCGUUGUCCGGACUGACUGGGCGUAAAGCGCGCGCAGGCGGUGCGGGGCGUCGGUGCUGAAAUCGGGCCGCUUAACGGCCCGCGGCGUGCCGAUACGCCCGUACUGGAGGGUGGGCGAGGGUGGUGGAAUUGCCGGUGUAGUGGUGAAAUGCGUAGAGAUCGGCAGGAACACCCGUGGCGCAAGCGGCCACCUAGCCCAUACCUGACGCUGAGGCGCGACAGCGUGGGGAGCGAACUGGAUUAGAUACCCAGGUAGUCCACGCCGUAAACGAUGCCGACUCGGUAUCCGUGAGGCGAAUAGCCUUGGGGGUGCCCCAGCUUACGCGGUAAGUCGGCCGCCUGGGGACUACGAGCGCAAGCUUA